GACGAACGCUGGCGGCGUGCUUAACACAUGCAAGUCGAACGGAAAGGCCCUGCUUGCAGGGUGCUCGAGUGGCGAACGGGUGAGUAACACGUGGGUGAUCUGCCCCUUACUUUGGGAUAAGCCUGGGAAACUGGGUCUAAUACUGGAUAGGACCAUGCUGUAGGUGGUGUGGUGGAAAGAUUAGUUUCGGUAAGGGAUGAGCUCGCGGCCGAUCAGCUUGUUGGUGGGGUAAUGGCCUACCAAGGCGUCGACGGGUAGCCGGCCUGAGAGGGUGGGCGGCCACAUUGGGACUGAGAUACGACCCAGACUCCUGCGGGAGGCAGCAGAGGGGAAGAGUGCACAAUGGGAGCAAGCCUGAUGCAGCGACGCCGCGUGGGGGAUGACGGCCUUCGGGUUGUAAACUCCUUUCAGCCAUGACGAAGCCCUUGUGGUGACGGUAGUGGUAGAAGAAGCACCGGCUAACUACGUG
rnacentral:rRNA from 1 species